rnacentral:rRNA from 1 species
AUUGAACGCUGGCGGCAGGCUUAACACAUGCAAGUCGAGCGGGGUGAUGGUGCUUGCACUAUCACUUAGCGGCGGACGGGUGAGUAAUGCUUAGGAAUCUGCCUAUUAGUGGGGGACAACAUCUCGAAAGGGAUGCUAAUACCGCAUACGUCCUACGGGAGAAAGCAGGGGAUCACUUGUGACCUUGCGCUAAUAGAUGAGCCUAAGUCGGAUUAGCUAGUUGGUGGGGUAAAGGCCUACCAAGGCGACGAUCUGUAGCGGGUCUGAGAGGAUGAUCCUCCACACUGUGACUGAGACACGGCCCAGGCUCCUACGGGAGGCAGCAGUGGGGAAUAUUGGACAAUGGGGGGAACCCUGAUCCAGCCAUGCCGCGUGUGUGAAGAAGGCCUUAUGGUUGUAAAGCACUUUAAGCGAGGAGGAGGCUCUUUUGGUUAAUACCCAAGAUGAGUGGACGUUACUCGCAGAAUAAGCACCGGCUAACUCUGUGCCAGCCGCCGCAGUAA